rnacentral:rRNA from 1 species
GAGUUUGAUCGUGGCUCAGAUUGAACGCUGGCGGCAUGCCUUACACAUGCAAGUCGAACGGCAGCAUGAUCUAGCUUGCUAGAUUGAUGGCGAGUGGCGAACGGGUGAGUAAUACAUCGGAACGUGCCCUGUAGUGGGGGAUAACUAGUCGAAAGAUUAGCUAAUACCGCAUACGACCCGAGGGUGAAAGUGGGGGACCGCAAGGCCUCAUGCUAUAGGAGCGGCCGAUGUCUGAUUAGCUAGUUGGUGGGUAAAGGCCCACCAAGGCGACGAUCAGUAGCUGGUCUGAGAGGACGAUCAGCCACACUGGGACUGAGACACGGCCCAGACUCCUACGGGAGGCAGCAGUGGGGAAUUUUGGACAAUGGGCGAAAGCCUGAUCCAGCAAUGCCGCGUGUGUGAAGAAGGCCUCGGUUGUAAG